CUAGCUUACGUGGAGGCGCUGGUGGGAUACUACCCUAGCUGUGUUGGCUUUCUAACCCGCACCACUUAUCGUGGUGGGAGACAGUGUCAGGCGGGCAGUUUGACUGGGGCGGUCGCCUCCUAAAAGGUAACGGAGGCGCUCAAAGGUUCCCUCAGAAUGGUUGGAAAUCAUUCAUAGAGUGUAAAGGCAUAAGGGAGCUUGACUGCGAGACCUACAAGUCGAGCAGGGUCGAAAGACGGACUUAGUGAUCCGGUG
rnacentral:rRNA from 1 species